GUAGAUGUUGCUGUCCCUAGAAAUAUAAUUUAGUACCAGUCAAGUUGAAGCAAUUACACCAGAUUUUUCACCAGAAGCAAUUUCAGAAAGGAGAAAAUACUAAUUUGAAACAUUCAUCAACUAUAACAACUUACGCCAACCUUUUCAGAUUGCCGGUGCUGGAUGUGUGAGAGGAUGGGUUUGUGUGAGGAAUAAGCGCAGUAGUGAUUUUACUACCGGUUCUGUAGGCGUGACUGGAUGGGUGUGUCCAAGUUGACAUCACUUCUUUGCCCUAAUGACAGGUGGGAUUCAGCUAGUUCGCACCAGUUCUGGCGAACCGGUUAAGAUUUUGUGGAGUUCGGAGAACCAGCGAAUCGUGCCACAGCUGGCUCCACCCAGUCACCUCAUCUCGCCUGUUCACCCACCAUUGCUGCCUGCCUGCGUCCACCAUUCUUGCCUGCCUUCCACCGCGCCCCUGAUCUCCCUGGCUUACCUUCCUGUGAGCGACUCCCGAGUGCCUCCAGCUCUCCUGCCUUGCUUCACGGCCCAAUGCUGUUCACUGGAUCAACGUGCGAGCAACUCCUGAAUCUGCCUGCCUCCCACAUGGCCUGCCUGCCUUCACCUAAUUUUGGGGUGUAGGAAUAGAGAAGUGAGAAGACUUGAGACUCUGUAAAAAGUUCGGACAGAAGGCGAGUGAGAGCUGAACAUGACUGAAAUCCCAGGGAAGGUGAUUGCAAGACUUGAACAUUGCGAGAGAAAAGGAAGCGCUUCUUCGCAUAAUACAGGUAUGCUUUGGUCCAGAAACUUUUCCCACAAACCGGACCCCUCUGUGGGUUUUCUUCCAUGUCGAUUCACUCGUGAUUCAUGAGGUUUUAUCUUUGCCCAAAACGUUUCUCCCAGAGGGAGCAUGUGUGAUUUCUCUCCCACGCGGCUUCUUUCGCGGGAUAUAAAGCUCGAUUUUGGCUUGAACCUUUUCCCGCAAUCCCUGUAUGAAUACGGUUUCUCUUCCUAAGUGGAUUCUUCCAAAGGUUUUUUAAGGCUGAACUUCCUACGCAGACAGAACACAUGUACAGCUUUUCCUGGGUGUGGAUUUUUCGGUGUAACUUGUUCUGUGCUUGAAGUUCUUCCACAGACUGAACAGGUGUAGUGUUUUUCUCCAGCAUGAAUUCUUUCAUGGGGGGAUUCAUUGGCAAACAUUUUCCUGCAGACAGAGCCCAAAUAUGGCAUCGUCCCCAUGUGAGUUUCUCAUAUAUCAGAGAAGGUUGGCUUUAUCGCUGCAGCUUCUCCCACAGACUGAGCAUAUAUGCGGAGUUUUUCCAGCCUGGUCUCAUUCAUGGUUAGUGAGGUUGAACUUUUGCUUGAAGCUUUUCCCACAGAACAUGCAUGGUUAAUACAUUUUUCUUGUGUGUGGAUAUGCUUUCCUGUGAAAUCAAGUUAGUUCUCUCACUCCUCCCUUUUCCACACAUACGGAGCAUAUAUAGGGUGUCUCUCCUGUAGGUUUCCUCUUGGAUGCAAGAUGUUUUGUGACUAAGAAGAUUGCAUCUUUGGUUCAAGCAUUUCCCACACACUGAGCAUGUGUGUAAUUUUUCUCCCUUGUGGCCUCUCCUGUGGACAGCCAGAUGACUUUUCCAGCUAAAUCCCUUCCCACAGACCGAGCACGCAUAUGGUUUUUCUCCUGUAUGGUUUCCCUUAUGCCUCAGAAGUAUUUAUGACGGAAGUCUUUUCUGUAAAUAGGGCGUUUCCAUGGUAUCAAUUCUUCUGUGCUAGACCGGAGGACCAGGUAAACUUCUUGCCACAGGUGGGACAAAGGUACCUUUCCCAGGUGAAUUUGCUCGUGUCUAAGCAUGCAUGCUUGGUUAGUGACGCAUUUUGUGCACAUGGACCACAAAUAUGGUUUUAGUCAUCUGUGAGGGAUCUUCCUGUGAAAUAAAGGACAGCCCUCCGAGAAAAGCAAACGGAGCAUUGAUAUGGUUUUCCUCCUGUAUGCAUUAUUUCGUGUCUGAUGAGGGGUGUUUUUGUUGUGUCCUAGCUAGCAGAUGGCACUGUGCAAGGCGCCUCUGAUUGGCCAGGACGC